rnacentral:rRNA from 1 species
GAUGAACGCUGGCGGCGUGCCUAAUACAUGCAAGUCGAGCGAACGGACGAGAAGCUUUCUCUUCUGAUGUUAGCGGCGGACGGGCGGGUAACACGUGGAUAACCAACUUAUAUUACUGGGAUAACUACGGGAAACCGCUUCUAAUACUGGAUAAUAUUUUGAACCGCAUGGUUCAAAAGUGAAUGACGGUCUUCCCGUCACUUAUAGAUGGUGCCGUGCUGGAUUAGCUAGUUGGUAAGGUAACGGCCUACCAAGGCAACGAUGCAUAGCCGAUCUGAGAGGGUGAUCGGCCACACUGGAACUGAGACACGGUCCAGACUCCUACGGGAGGCAGCAGUAGGGAAUCUUGCGCAAUGGGCGAAAGCCUGACGGAGCAAUACCGCGUGAGUGAUGAAGGUCUUCGGAUCGUAAAGCUCUGUUAUUAGGGAAGAACAGAUGUGUGAGAAACUGUGAAUAUCUUGACGGUACCUAAACAAAAAGCACCGGCUAACUACGUG